rnacentral:rRNA from 1 species
GAGUCGAGGGUACCCGAAGCCGCUAGUCUAACCCACAAGGGAGGACGGUGUCGAAGGUACGCUUGGUAAGGAGGGUGAAGUCGUAACAAGGUAGCCGUACCGGAAGGUGCGGCUGGAUCACCUCCUUUCUAAGAGAAAGG